rnacentral:rRNA from 1 species
GAUGCAAGCGUUGUCCGGAAUUACUGGGCGUAAAGCGUGCGCAGGCGGUUUUGUAAGGCAGAGGUGAAAUCCCCGGGCUUAACCUGGGAACUGCGUUUGAAACUACAAGGCUAGAGUGUGGCAGAGGGGGGUGGAAUUCCACGUGUAGCAGUGAAAUGCGUAGAGAUGUGGAGGAACACCGAUGGCGAAGGCAGCCCCCUGGGUUAACACUGACGCUCAGGCACGAAAGCGUGGGGAGCAAACAGG